rnacentral:tRNA from 1 species
UAGCCUAGUGGUUAAGGCUUUGGAUCGCCAUUCCGGAGACGGCGGGUUCGAUUCCCGU